CCUACGGGUGGCAGCAGUGGGGAAUAUUGGUCAAUGGGCGCGAGCCUGAACCAGCCAAGUAGCGUGAAGGAUGACUGCCCUACGGGUUGUAAACUUCUUUUAUAUGGGAAUAAAAUGUUCCACGUGUGGGAUAUUGUAUGUACCAUAUGAAUAAGGAUCGGCUAACUCCGUGCCAGCAGCCGCGGUAAUACGGAGGAUCCGAGCGUUAUCCGGAUUUACUGGGUUUAAAGGGAGCGUAGGUGGAUUGUUAAGUCAGUUGUGAAAGUUUGCGGCUCAACCGUAGAAUUGCAGUUGAAACUGGCAGUCUUGAGUACAGGAGAGGUAGGCGGAAUUCGUGGUGUAGCGGUGAAAUGCGUAGAUAUCACGAAGAACACCGAUUGCGAAGGCAGUUCACUGGACUGCAACUGACGCUGAGGCUCGAAAGUGUGGGUAGCAAACAGGAUUAGAUACCCGAGUAGUC
rnacentral:rRNA from 1 species